rnacentral:tRNA from 1 species
UAUUCUAAACUAAACUACUC